AUUGAACGCUGGCGGCAUGCUUUACACAUGCAAGUCGAACGAGUGGCGGACGGGUGAGUAAUUCUUUGGAAUCUUGCUUAUGGAGGGGGAUAACUACGGGAAACUGUAGCUAAUACCGCGUACUAUUUGAUGAGCCCAAGUGGGAUUGGGUAGUUGGUGGGGUAAAGGCUCACCAAGCCGACGAUCCCUAGCUGGUCUGAGAGGAUGACCCGCCACACUGGGACUGAGACACGGCCCAGACUCCUACGGGAGGCAGCAGUGGGGAAGUUUGCGCAAUGGGGGCAACCUGACGCAGCCAUGCCGCGUGAAUGAAGAAGGCCUUCGGGUUGUAAAGUACUUUCAGUAGGGAGGCGUUACCGAAAGAAGAAGCACCGGCUAACUACGUGCCAGCAGCCGCGGUAAUAC
rnacentral:rRNA from 1 species